rnacentral:rRNA from 1 species
AUGGCAGUAGUUCUUCGAUUUGCAAACAUAGAAGGGGUGAUAAGAGAACAUUUUCUUGAUCUUGUUCAUGUUAGAGACACUAGUGCUUUGACUCUGAAGAACACAAUUAUUGCCGUCCUAGUUGAUAAUGGGUUGAAUGUGCAAGAUAUUAGAGGCCAGGGAUAUGACGGGGCAAGAAACAUGAGGGGGGAGUGGAAUGGGCUGAAAGCUCUAAUUCUCAAUGAGUGCCCUUAUGCAUAUUUUAUCCAUUGUCUUGCACAUCACCUCCAAUUGGCUCUUGUUGCUGCUUCAAGGGAGGUACAUGAGGUCCAUAAUUUUUUUCAGCAUGCAAAUUUCAUUGUAAAUACCGUUAGUGCAUCUCCCAAACGCAAUGAUGAGCUAUUAGAAUAUCAGGCUUCUGAAAUUGCUAGAGAGAUUGAAUUGGGAGAGCUUGACACAGGAAGAGGGGCCAAUCAAAUAGGAUCUUUACAAAGGGCCGGAGACACGAGAUGGAGUUCCCACUACAAAUCUAUCAAAAGUUUUUUAAAGAUGUUUGCCGCAACUGUUACAGUGCUAAGAAGUGUAGCAGCUGAUCGUUCAGCUACAAGGAAUGCAAGAGGUGAUGCUGGAGGUUCCCUGAAAAUCCUACUCACAUUUGAUUUUGUGUUCAUUCUACACUUAAUGGAAAGAAUCAUGAAAAUCACGGAUGUCUUGUGUCUCAAACUUCAACAUAAAUCUUUGGACAUUGCAAAUGCAUUAGAUUGUGUUUCUAACACAAAGGUGUUGCUUGGUGAACUAAGGGAAGAUGGAUGGGACAGCCUUUUUGAAGAUGUGAAAUCCUUUUGUGUGAAACAUGAGAUUGACAUCCCGAACAUGGAUCAAAAGUAUGUUGAUGUGACAAAAUCUCGAAAUAAGCAUGACAACAACACAGUUAUCCAUCAUUACAAAGUAGAUGUGUUUAAUGUUGCAAUAGAUCAACAAGUGAUAGAGUUGAAUGAUCGAUUCAGUUCUCAAGUAACUGAGCUACUAGAUCUUUGUUCAUCAUUGGACCCGAGGCAUGAUGCCUUCAGCAAGUCAUAG